GGGGGGAGUGGUGUCGGCACGGGCCUUCUAAGCCUUUUGUCGGGCGGUUAGACUCCGUCUUCCCCUCU
rnacentral:tRNA from 1 species